GCCGAGGUUCGUGUGCGCGGCAUCCGGUCAUGUGACCGGCAAGCGGCCUUUGGGACCAUGGUUUUCGACGAGCGUCUAGGGGGUGGCGCUCUACAUUUAGGCAUCUCUAUGGUGGAAGCGGGGACUCGGCUUUGAAUCCAGAGAUCUAUGACAAAGAACAGCGGAGGCGGCAGGAAAGUGUGUAGAGAGGAUUAACAUAAGGAAAAACCAGUUAUGCAGAUCGUGAAGCUGGAUGUUCGGAAAAUAGUUUCAAUGUUAGUGUGAAAUCCUGUUCUGCAUAGCUAUCAAUUCAGGUGUGAUAAUCUCAUGUUUGCAUACUUAUUGGAAAAUAAAACUAAGAGUACACUUGUGUGUAUUCAUGGUAUUAUUUGCAGACCCAGUAGAUGGCAGUGUGGGUAUAAAUAAGUUGUUGUUAUUAUUUUAUUGAUGACUCUCAGGGGUCCCUUCCAAUUCUACAGUUCUACGAUCCUAUGAUUCUGCAUAGUCAACAUUCCAGGGACAGGACCCAUUGUUGGAAAACAUGCCCCCUCGGGAGAGGCUGGCCCCUCUCCAGGCUCCCGGGGCUUGUCUCUGGUGACCUACUCUGACUGGCAUCACAGCAGUCCAGAGAGGUCUUGAUAGGCGACAUCCCCCAGCGUGGAAGAUGCACACCCCCUUCUCCCCUUGCAUACCAGCAGGAGAAAGAAGAUAGUCAGAAGGUCUAUUACAUUUCUACGGUUUAUUUCUGACUUUACAGCUGUACAUAAACGUGUCCGUUCAGUUCAGUCUCCUCCGAGCAACAGCCUGAGACUUCCUUCACACACGCAACAGGAAGGUCUCAUAUUACACACAGAACAAAUCCCUGUGUGAACUGCCUGGUCCAUUCUUUCCCAGGACCAGCCACAUCAUGUGAUGUAAACAUCGAGCUGCUUGUUUGCAGCUGCGUUGUACUCAUAUCCCAACACCCAUCUUGGACAUAAGAACAUAGGAAGAGCUUCCUGGAUCAGGCCAAUGGCCCAUCUAGUCCAGCAUGCUGUUCUUGCAGUGGCCAAGCAGAUGCCUGUGGGAAGCCAGCAAGCAGAACAUGAGCACAAGAGCCCUCUUCCCUCCUGCGGUUUCCAUGAACUUGCAUUCAGCAGCAAACUGUGGAGGCAGAGCAGAGCCAACAUGGCCGGAGUGUCCAUCGAUAGCCCCCUCCUCCAAGAAUUUGUCCCAUCCUCUUUAUAAGCCGUUCAGGUUGGGGGCCAUCACUGCCUCCUGUGGAAGCUCAAGUUCCACCGUUUCUCUACGUGCUGCGUGAAGAAGGACUGUCAUUUAUCAGUCCUAAAUUAUCCAACAUUCAACUUCAUUGGAACGAAACUCUAGUGUUACGAGAGAGGGAGAAAAUCUUCUCUCUAUCCGCUUACUCUAGGCCAGGCACAAUUAAUAUAUAU